rnacentral:lncRNA from 1 species
UAUCCCACCCUUAUACCUCAAAGCAAACACACCCUUAAGCUGUAAUGUUAUGUUGGAUAGGAAUCAUAAAUUUCAUUUUUUAUUUUGCAUAAAUAUAAUCGUCUAAUUCGUUAUAUUUCAUAUUUAACUUUUUAUGUAAUAAACAAUAUAUUUUUUAUUCCAUAGAUUACUGAUUAUUGAUUAUUUCAUAGGUUGGAUUUGUUUUAGGUUCCACAUUGAUUAUUGCAUUGGCUGGAUUCAUUUUAUGUUCAUAUAUAUAUCAAUGACUAUUAAGUAUUGAUAUUUGAAACUUUAAAAUUUUAGAUUCUUGAUAAUGUUUUUUAUAUGAUACUCUAAAGUUUUGAUUUGUAUAAGAUAUUUUAUUGUUUGUUAUACAUAUAUUUUGCUUUAUUUAAUAUUAUAUUCCUUCUUAUAUUUGUAGUUAUUUUGCAUGUAUUUGUGUAAUUUGGUA